UGGGGAAUUUUGGACAAUGGGCGAAAGCCUGAUCCAGCAAUGCCGCGUGUGUGAAGAAGGCCUUCGGGUUGUAAAGCACUUUUGUCCGGAAAGAAAUCCUUGGCUCUAAUACAGUCGGGGGAUGACGGUACCGGAAGAAUAAGCACCGGCUAACUACGCGCCAGCAGCCGCGGUAAUACGUAGGGUGCAAGCGUUAAUCGGAAUUACUGGGCGUAAAGCGUGCGCAGGCGGUUUGCUAAGACCGAUGUGAAAUCCCCGGGCUCAACCUGGGAACUGCAUUGGUGACUGGCAGGCUAGAGUAUGGCAGAGGGGGGUAGAAUUCCACGUGUAGCAGUGAAAUGCGUAGAGAUGUGGAGGAAUACCGAUGGCGAAGGCAGCCCCCUGGGCCAAUACUGACGCUCAUGCACGAAAGCGUGAGGAGCAAACAGGAUUAGAUACCCUGGUAGUCCACGCCCUAAACGAUGUCAACUAGUUGUUGGGGAUUCAUUUUCCUUAGUAACGUAGCUAACGCGUGAAGUUGACCGCCUGGGGAGUACGGUCGCAAGAUUAAAACUUAAAUGAAUUGACGGGGUCAUAGCUGUUUCCU
rnacentral:rRNA from 1 species